GGAGGAAAGCAGGGGAUCGUAAGACCUUGCGUUAAUGGAGCGGCCGGUAUCUGAUUAGCUAGUUGGUGAGGUAAAGGCUCACCAAGGCGACGAUCAGUAGCUGGUUUGAGAGAACGACCAGCCACACUGGAACUGAGACACGGUCAGACUCCUACGGGAGGCAGCAGUGGGGAAUUUUGGACAAUGGGGGCAACCCUGAUCCAGCCAUUCCGCGUGAGUGAAGAUGGCCUUCGGGUUGUAAAGCUCUUUCGCAAGGGAAGAAAACUUAUGAUCGAAUAAAUCAUGAGGUUGACGGUACCUUGAUAAGAAGCACCGGCUAACUACGUGCCAGCAGCCGCGGUAAUACGUAGGGUGCGAGCGUUAAUCGGAAUUACUGGGCGUAAAGCGUGCGCAGGCGGUUUUGUAAGUCGGAUGUGAAAUCCCCGGGCUCAACCUGGGAACUGCGUUUGAAACUACAAAGCUAGA
rnacentral:rRNA from 1 species